rnacentral:lncRNA from 1 species
UUCCAUAUUUUGCAUUCUUUGUCUUGAUGCUAAAGAUGUCGUCAACUCCACCAAUGAGAAGAAUGAUCUUAAUCAAGCAUUGUUCAUCAUAGUUGGUUAAAUUGUCUUGGACUAAGCUGUUACUGACUAGCAUAACACAUAACAAUGUAAUCCCCCACCCCCCACAAAAAAAAAAAAAAAAAACUAACCAGCAUAACAUGUGUAAUAGUAGUGUUUCUCAGGAACAAGUGGACUCCAAGUAAAAUAGAAAAGAAAUGGAUGCAUCUCAAUAUUGAAUCCUCAAGUCUGACAUCUCUGAUGGCUCUUUUUCUUUACUUGAGAUCUGUGAUUGAGUUUUCAAGCUGUAAACUUGAAAUGACUUUUGAUAUCAACUGCAGGAAGCUCGGGCAAAUCUAAGCCCAAAUUUUUGUUCCAAUCCCGGCCACAGAAGAAAGAUUAUGCUUUGGUUGUCCAUGAUAAUUGUGAAACCUGCACGCCCUUAUCUGUGCUUCCCCUAAAUGUAGAAUUAGACAUGCAAAGAAAAAAUAUAGAGUCACUGGAUGACUUAUUGGAGAAUAAUGGUGGAAAUGAAGUACAACCGUUCGAGGAGAAUUUGGUCUCAUCUGAAGUAGCAGUUGUACAUGAUCCAAAUGAGCAUUCCAUGGCUGAGGUUCUGGAUCACUUUCAGCAUACAAGGUCCUCACGAGGCAAUCCUAAAACGGUUUGCUUUCUUCUUCUCCAGAUCUCUUUUCUUAAAGAUCUCAGUAGCGCUUCCGUAUUACCAUUUUUACUAUUUCAAUUAUGUUUUUGUAUGUAAGAAUCAUGCUUAUCCAGCAGCUGCAAACAAAAAGACAAGGAUCACGGUUCUUACGGAAGAGAAACUUAUUGCUGCUUGGUGACAGAAACAUGAGCAAUGGCGACCAACCUGAGGAACUAGAUAGUGAUCCAUCUAGUGAUGAGGAUGUAAUAUGUGGUUAAUCUUUUACUGCGUAAUCAUCACGAUCAAUUGCCAUAUGUAGUUCUCUGAAUUCCUUUCUUUUUGUUUCAGGAAGUUCCCCAGAUUCUGAAGUCUGCUAUACCUCAGAGGACCAUGGCUGACCAAUUUCAUCUAGCGUUAGGAGCUGUAUCCACAAAUGAGAGGCUAUCUACUGCAAGGUCUAAGCAAUUCGGGUGAGUUAUGGAACUAGAACGUAUCAGUUAUGAGCAUAUUCUGCAUGUUUUCUAGGAACAGAAACAGAAAAAUAUUCUUCAAAUUUUAUCUUUUCUUACUUGUAUUGAUAAGUCAUGCAGGUUAUCUGGAAGGUUGCAGCACGUGAUGCAAUGUGAAAAGGACAGAGAUACAUAUUUCUUGGAGAAGUCACAAACACAUGCUGCUUCAAGUGGUAAAAGGCCAAACUGUGUAUCUCCUGUCUCUUGCUUGUUUCUGACCUUCUCCUCUGCUGUUAAUUCAGGUGAAGAAAGCUUCAUUGAUGUGAGAAUUUUGUCAAGUUCUUUGGAGGCCAAGCUGACUGUUUGUUUUUGUGCUUUACAUGGAGAUGAAGAGGUACUUGAACUAACUAUUGUACAUUUGCUAAACAGAAGGUUAAAAGUAUGAGUAUGUCUACUUUAUUGAGGAUACAAUGUUGCUUUCAACUUUUUGAAGGUCAUGAGCGUGCUUUUCUUGCUCUCACUAGUUUCUUAAGUAGAAAUUCCCAGUACUUGUUUUGAUGAUAGUCCAAUUUUUACGUGGUGCCUGGGACAUUUACCAUUCUCAUAUAAAUGGGCAACUUUUAGAAAUUCAGCAUGUUGCAUGGCACAGAAAGUCGGGUAGGGUGGCCUAGGACCGUGGAUACUGCAGGUGGAGAACUUUUACUUUCCAUUACAGGUGGUAGCUUUUGGGUGAAGUGUCAUAGUUUCUCAACUUUCUAUACACCAUUUCCCUCCGAAGCAACAAGCCCUGCAGAUUAGACAAACAAUGUGGUAGUUGGUUUUUUUGAAGUGUGUAAUCUGUAAGAAACUCCCGAAAUUAUAUUCAUCACAGUGUUCAAUAAUUGCAUAUUUCAUUUUUUCCCGAUAAUUGCAGUCGUUUAAUAAUAUGGUGUUUACUGUGAUCUGUGUAAACUUUUUCAGAAAUGUAUUCCUUGUAGUAUUUACGACUUGACCCUUAGGAGCUUCAGAUAACUGAGGGACCAUGGAGACAUUUUAUUUGUUCUAUGAUUUCUUUCUUCUUUUGUUCUUUAUCAAUAUUUUUCAUCCUUUGUGCUUAAACCACUUCUUCGUUUCUUCUUUACCUCUGCUGGAAUCAAAAUGUUCAUCCCUGGGCAGUUGAUUUGGGUGUUAGACCCUCUGGCUGUAUCUAUCAGUCAUCCUGGCUGCAGAAUCAGCAGAAUCUUAAUUGGGAAGUGAAUUUGGGUUUUCUGAUACUGAAAUGUGUACAAUAUAGUCUUAUCAGUCUUAGUUUGGCAGAUGGAAUGAGGAUCAUAAAUUCAGUAUGAAUGGUUAUAUGGGUUUGGUUAUGCAAUCAUUAGGGUUGACACAUGAUGGUAAGUUUACACAGAGACUUAAAAUGAAUUGUGUAAUGUUUUUUUUCCUGGUGUAAAGAGAACCUUGUAGAGGAUGCUGAAUCUCUGUUAGAUUUUUUGGAAUCAGUGUAAAUAGUUGUGUAUCAUUGUUGUUACUGCUCUCGUUUCUGUAUUCUCUUUUUCAAGCAGCUUGGAAAUGCUUUAUUUUAAGCCGAGGGUCUAUCUGAAACAACCUCUGUAUCUAUACGAAGUAGAGUCAAGGUCUACGUAUACUCUACCUUCCCUGUGCUCCACUUGUGGAAUUACACUGGGUAUGUUGUUGUUGUUGUAGUGUAAGUAGUUUUGUGUCUAUCGGAAACAACCUCUCUACCCCACAAAGGUAGGGGUAAGUUCUGCUUGCCCUCCCUCGACCCCACUUGUGGGAUUACACUGGGUAUGUUGUUGUUGAGUAUAAGUAGUUUUCGACUUUGGUAAUCUAGUAAGAAGAGCAAGUUUUUGUGUAUGGAAACUGUAAAUUUGCUUUCCAGCAUUUUCUUAGUGCUCUAGCUGGAUAUUUUCACUUUGGUCAUGACGCCAGCCUUAAUCACUUCAGCAUGUAAACCAGUAAUUUUUAAAGAUCAUAACUCUCUUGGUCCAAAUAUUCAUAUUUAUAUUUGGCAUUAUCAAUACGGUGACGCAUGGAAAAAAUUGUCUCGUUUUGCACGUUAACCUAUUUUUCUUUUGAACACUGACGGGAAAGUAGGUCUAUUAAAAAUUUCACAAUCAUAUGGACGUAUUAUAAAAUAUCAUUCGCAGUAAAAGAAGGGAAAAAAAGAGAUACAUCUUUUCUUCCAAGGAAAGUGAUUAUUUUAUUAAGUCCAAUAGGAAGAGGUGAAAAUCCUUUUGGGAUGAGGGAGUACAUAUUUAGAUCAUUGACAUUUUGACACUUAAUUAUUAUUAUUUUUAUUCACAAAGAAGCUUGCAAAUUUAGGGUCAGAAUAUGCCCAUGAUCCAAAUGUCUAACCAAGGACAUUCACCGUCACUUACAAUCUAUGUACGUAGUUUGUACUGGAGGAUUAUCUAAUGCAGAUUGAAUAAAUUGAUAUAUACUUAGGUUUUACCUGCUUUUGUUUAAAUACAGAAGGAGGGAAAAAAGUGAUCUCGACAAACACUAAUCAGUACUCAUUCCCCAAGCACAUAGGUCUAGAAGGGAAAAAAAGAAGUUUCAUACCAUCUGGCUAGUCAUUUCGUCAUAUGGGAAUUUUUAAGAAUGAAAGUUGGGGUCUUAACAUUUAUUAACUGUUUAUUCCUACUCUUACUGGUGUUGAUGGUUUCAUUUACCAAACAGAAUAGAUUUGUGGUGUUAGGUGAAUGCGAUUGUCAAUUUUAUGUUUCUUUGCAGGGUUCUGAGUGCCUGAGCAAUCCUCGAGAAAGGAAGGGUACUGUUAGAAGGAAGUUUACUAUCAUUUUUAGCUCGAGAAUUUGUAAAGACGUCGAACUUGAAAUAGGGAAUGUUAUCCGCAUACAUCAACCUUGGUAGGAGCAGCUCAAAUAUUUUCUUUUUUAAAUAUUUGUUGUUUUUGUUUGUUUGGAAUAAUACUCUUUUCUCGGUACCCGUUUGAGUAAGAUGGCUCUUGGCACCCAACCUAAACUAUUGUGAUUGAAAUGCCUAGAACACCUUUUUGGUAGAAGUGGAGUAACUCUAUACUUAAUUUUUUUUUAAAAAGAAGCAGACAAAGCUAGAUUGAUUUUAUCCCCUCAUAGCCCGGAGGAAAGUUCUGAUUCUGUCCUUGUAAAUUAUUCUUUAUACCAUUGUUGUGCAUAUGCCAGUGUCUUCAAGUUGGUAAAAGCUGUACCUUUUACUAAACUUUCUUGUAUUGCUUAACAAAUACUAAGUGAUUCUUUCCCAGACUGACUUUUUCUGGUGCAGGAAGGAGGUACAUGUGAACGCGAAAGACGAGGCCAUCAUUUUGUGCGCAUAUUUCUCUCAGAUUUAGUCUUUGGAUCACAUUUUAUACCAAGGUAAUAGCAAGGUUUCUAGAGAAUUCUUUAUUGCUGUACUUUGCACUUGCCCUAUAUUUUCCAAAUAGAGUACAAUAGAAGUCUAAUUUAUCCCUUUUCGCUACAAAUUUCACUCAAGACUACUGCAAAAUGUAUGAAUGCAAUCAGGUCACUUUAUUUGUUCUGGAGCCUCAUUGGAUUGGUGGAUUUUUAGUUGACUUCCUAUGCUCUUUAAGUAGUCUCAUGAUGGAUCUUACUCGGUACAUUGCCUACAUACACAGAAAGGUCAAUAAAAUGGCCAUCAUGCCUGUGGAUGGAGUUUGAAAAAACAAAAUUCGAUCCUGUUGCUUCCAAAUGGUGACGGACAAUGCAGCUCUAGCAGAGAAUGAAGACAAACUUGGAACUAUUUUUGAUGUAUUCUUGGUGACACUGAGGGAAUGAAAAUACUUGGGAGGAGACAGUUUCACCCGGGCAGGUUUGCACCAUAUUCCAAUUAUGCACUACUGAUGGGAAUUAUAUAUAUGUUUUUCCAGAAGCAUUUGUGUCUUAAUAUGUUGUGUUUUCUGUCUGAAGUUGUUGUCUUACUAUGUUAUGUUUCCUGUAUGAAGUUGUUGUCUUGCAUUACAAUAAAACAGUGAUCAAUAUAAUGUGAUUUACUAGUUGUACUGAUAUAUAUUUAUAUAUAUAUAUAUAUAUAUAUAUAUGGUACAUUCAAGUCAUUUAUAAAAUGAUUAUAUGCUAAAUCUCUUUGAUAACAUUUUUUAUAUUGUCAGUAGAUAUAACUUAAUUCUUAUAAUCAUUGGUGUUUCUAGACUCAACCUCAUAUCCUUCCCCUUUCCCGGUAAACAGACCAAUUGUUAGAGUUGGUUAUAGUCCCACAUUGGUUGAGGAAUGGACGGGUAAUUUGUUUAUAUGUACUUGGGCAAUUCCCUCCACCCCCCUCUCAUGUCCCUCACACACAACCUAAUGAGCAAGCUUUUCGGGUUGAGUUAGACCAAACUACCAUAUCUUUACAUGGUUACCAAGUCAGGUCCUUCCCCAUUUGGACUUCUGGUCCACGUUCCAUUCAGGUCUAGACGUAAAGAGGGUGUUACACUUGGUUACAGUCUUACAUUGAUUGGAAAUCAGUGGUUUUGCUUAUAUGGACUUGGACAGUCCUCCCCUCAUGAGCCAACUUUUGAGAUUUACUACCUCCGUCCACUUUUAAUUGUCAUAAUUUUCUUUUUUAGAGUCAAACAAUAAUAACUUUGACUAACAUUUUACGGUGUAUUUUUUCAUCAUAUAUGCAAAAAAUUGGAAUAAAUAGUACUUUUCAUAUAGUUUUUGAAUAUCUAAAUUUUUUGUUUAAAAUAUCGAAUGAAUGCAACUAAUUUAACUUUGAAAAUUAGUCAAAUUGACUUUCGAAAAGUGCAACGUGACAAAUAAAAGUGGACAGAGGGAGUAGUUAUCUAGUGGUAAAAUUGACUUUGUAGCCCCUGCUCGAAUUGUUUUUGGUUUUGAACAAUACUAAGGGUUCGUUUGGUUGGGAACAAGUUAUUCUGGGAUUAAUUAUCUUGGGAUAAGAUAUCAUGUGAUAAGUUAUUUCACCAUGUAUAUGAAAUAAUUUAUCACAUCACUAAGAUAUAAAUGGUAGGAUAAAUAAUUCCAGAAUUGCCUAAUACCUCCAAUCAAACACAAAAUUUUAUCCUAGUAUUAUAAUAUCUUACACCUCACACCGAACGACUCUUAAUCAGUUAGGGAUCGUUUGGUGUGAAGGAUGGGUACAAAUAGUCCUGGGAUAAUUAUUUUGUGGCACUUAAUUUAGUGUUUGGUUGGGAAGUUUGGGAUAACUUAUCCUGGGAUUAAUAAUUAGUACCGGGAUAAGUUAUCCCUUCCCAUGGGUGGUAUAGUAAUCCCGGGAUAAAAUGACUAAAUGACAAAAAUGUCCCUUUAAACAUUUUUUAUACAUUACUUUUCACAUCCAUGAAGAGUAUUUUAGUAAACUUAUAUGUUGUUCUUAAGAUUUACUAUUUUGAAUACAACAAACCAAACACUCAAUAAAAAAUAAUCUUAGUGUAACUUAUCUCAUCAUAACUUAUCCCAUCAUAACUUGAAUUCAAACCAAGCGACCCCUAAGAUUUUAAUUCAUGUUUGUUGAUUGAAAACUUGAUUUAAAAUAGAGAUUUGGUUAGAAACGGAGAGUAUUGCAAUUUAUCUAUCUAUCAUCAUUAAUUCAUUGGCCUGUCCGCCGCUGUCCAUGGCCAUAAAAAAGGCAAGACUACCUCAAAAGAUAUGGAUCAGUUCAAGGUAUUAUUACUCAUUUCAAAUGAAAAGCACCAAGUAGAUACUAAUGAUAAUGAUAAUGGCGUUAGAGUUUAAUGAUUCAAGUGGACGUAUGUUUAAUUAUUUGUAUCUAAUUGUAGGCACACCCUUCUAAGACCUUCCAUCAAUUAUUGCUUUUAAAUCUUGAAAUGAAGAUUGUAGACAGACAUCUCCUCCCUCCACGUGCCAUACUCAACAUAGAAUUGACAACUGUACUUCUUUAUUAGAAAAAAAUAAUGUAAGUGUUGAAGUUUACACACCUCCCAUAGUUUGAAGUAGUCAGUCUGUACUAUCCAACCUGUUUGUUCAACUUCAAAAUACACUUAACAAAUAGGUUUAGUCAACAUAUAAGGAUAGUUGUGAGGUCAUUAAUUACCUAAUUAGAUUAUUAAAUUGUUCUUACUCCAUCUUAUAAUCAUGGUAUUACUUGGCCUCUAAUCUUAAAGCAUUAAAGGGUUUGCUUAGGAGCCAAGAUUUUUUGGAUAUAUUGAUUUAUUUAAGAAUGAAAUCAAAGAAAAUUUUACCCUAUAUAUACCCCUCCAUAUUUCUUCAUUUCAUCAACUUGAAGCAAUCCAUCAUAAUCCUAAUUUAUUAGUAUUCUUGAAAUAAUGGCAAUCAAAGUCCAUGGUAUCCCCUUGUCAACUGCAACCAUGAGAGUUGUUUCUUGCCUUAUUGAGAAGGAUUUGGAUUUUGAGUUUGUCUUUGUUGAUAUGGCCAAUGAAGAACACAAGAAGCACCCUUUCCUUUCACUCAAUGUAAGCAUAAUUGAUUAUAUUAUUAGCUUGUUUGAUCAAGUUUUUGAGAAGCUAGAAGUAUUUUUUUUUAAAAUGUUUAUUUAGAAAUUUGAGUUGUUUUAGUGUUUCAGUAGUAGCUGGAUCUGGAAAAAAUACUUUCUUUUCUUUCUAAAACCACUUUUGAAACUUUGGUCAAACACAAAUUGUUGCUCUAAUACUGGCAAAAAUAUUUGUCAAAUUAAUGGCAAAUUCAAAUUGUCAUUGUCCAAAAUACUUUUUCGACAAGCACUUUUAAUAAAUACAAUGGUUUUUAAAAUUAAUGAUUUAUAAAAGUUUGGCUAAACAGUCUAUAAAUCUAUUUGAUAGUGAUUUUUACACAUAAGUUUAUAUUUCGUGUCAAAAAUACUUAAAUCGGUUGACUUAUGCUUAUUAUUAGUCCAGUUUUUUUCCAAAUUGCAAUUUGAAAUCAUGAAUUCAUAUGGUAUAUUAAAAUGACAUUUUCAACCAUUGGUGCAGCCUUUUGCCCAAGUACCAGCAUUUGAAGAUGGGGACUUAAAGCUCUUUGGUAAAUUGUUUUAGCUAUUCUUAUAAUUUGUAGUAUAUGUCAGCACCAAGGUGGUAAAUUUGAAAAGAUUCAAGUCAUACAUACACGGACAUUGUAAAUAUUUUUUAUAUUAUCAGUGUAAUCUAUCAUGUUAUAGUAACUCAUUAUACUUAUUAGUUUACUAAUUGUUAAUGCUUAUAAUAUAAUUUUUUAAUAUAAUACAUAAAAAUGCCCUUUAAUUUGGCCUCAUCUGACAUAUAUGCUCUCCAAUUUGGAAUGUGCACAAGUAGACACUUAAAUUUGUAUAUAAUUGAAUAAGUAGACACACAUGUCAUACAUGACAAUUUGCAGUCCUACGUGUAUUAUUGUUAUAUAGGACAUGUGUGUUGUGUGUCGACUUGUUCAACUUUAUACAAGUUUAACUGUCUAUUUGUGUACAUUCAAAAUUGGAGGGUACAGAUGUCCGUUGAGUCCAAAUUAAAGAACACUUUUAUGUAUUGUGCCAAUUUUUUUACGUUAUAAUACAAGUUAGGCCGGAGCUAGUAAAACAGAAGGGGUUCAACUAAAUCCUCAUCGUCGAAUAAUUAUAUUAUGCAAAUAGGGUAAAAACAAUUGUUAUAUCCAUCCUUGUUCCCCUUGACAUAAAGGAAGAUUUUAUUACUAGUGAUAAAGGGGUUUUGGGUUCAUAAGUUCAAUCUUUAACUUUGACAUCCUAAUAUAUAUUUUUGAAUCCUCUUUAUAUAUAUGAAGAAGAAUUAAUUUAAAUAGUCGUCACUUAACUGUUUAAACUAAUAGUCAGCAGAUGUAUAAUACGUUUAUAAUCAUGUAUAAUUUAUAUAUAUCAGCUAGGAAAAGUAAACAAGUGAAUCCAACUAGCUAUUCAUGCAAGUAUUUUUUUAUAUAAAUUCUUGAUUCCACCAGGCUGAUAAGUGACCUGUUUUUUAAAAACUAUCAAUUUGAUAUGAUAAAUUGUGCACUUGUAAUGCAGAAUCAAGGGCAAUCACUCAAUACAUUGCUCAUACUUAUGCUAGCAAUGGCAUUCAACUAAUACUCCAAGAUCCAAAGAAAAUGGCCAUUAUGUCAAUAUGGAUGGAAGUAGAAGGCCAAAAAUUUGAACCACUUGCUUCAAAAUUAACAUGGGAGCUAGUCAUAAAACCAAUGAUUGGCAUGGGCAGUACAAAUGAUGAUAUUGUGAAAGAAAGUGAAGAACAAUUGUCUAAGGUUCUUGACAUCUACGAAACUCGAUUGACAGAGUCAAAAUACUUAGGUGGUGACUCCUUUACACUUGUUGAUUUGCAUCACAUACCAAAUAUAUACCAUUUGAUGAAUACAAAAGCUAAGGCACUGUUUGAUUCGCGCCCUCGUGUGAGUGCAUGGUGUGCUGAUAUAUUGGCUAGGCCAGCUUGGAUGAAGGGCUUGGAGAAGCUGCAAAAAUGAAAAAAAAUGAAAAUAAUGACCACAUAUAUCCAUGUUUUUUCAGAAGCAUUUCUGUAUUAGUAUGUUGUGUUUCCUGUCUGAAGUUGUUGUCUUGCAAUACAAUAAACAGUGAUCUAUAUCUAUGUGAUUUUACUAGUUGUACUGAUGUAUAUAUGGUACAUUCAAGUCAUUUAUAAAAUGAUUGUGCGCUAUAUUUCUGUGAUAAACAUUUUUUACACUGCCAGUGUAUAUAACUUAAAUCUUAUAAUUAUUUGGUGUUUUUAGACUCAACCUCAUCUCUUUCCCUUUUUCUGAGAUAAAUAGGCAAACUGUUAGAGUGGGUUACAGUCCCGCAUUGGUUGAGAAAUGGACUGGUAGUUUGUUUAUAUGGAUUUGAACAAUCUUUCUACAUAAGUUAGUUUUUAGGGUUGAAUUAGCUCAAAGUAGCAUAUUUUUACAUGAUAUCAGAGCCAAACACUUCACCGUUUGGACUUCCGAUCCACAUUCCAAUCAAGCCCGAAGCCCGAAUAUGAAGGGGAUGUUAGAGUGGAUUACAGUCUUUUGAGAUUAUGCUCUUAUCUGGUAGUCAGAUCUGGUGGAAUCUAAUCCACAACAGCAUCAAUUGGAAAUAAUAUUCUUGUUCCACUAAAAGUACUUUUCCUCCAACUUUGUUAUCUGGAAUCCAAUAUGUUAAGCAACUAGACAAAUAAAUCAUCUAAAUUUAUUGCUUCGAACUUAAAUUAUUUUUGCUCAAACACUCAUCAGAGGAGAUGGGAUUCUUCCUAUCGUAAAUCAAUAAGAAAUUUAUGCUAUAAGACAUAAUUUUUUCACCGUACUUCCUCGUUAGAAAAAAUGCAUGGUGGAAUACUAAAAAACUUUCUUUUUUUUCUAUGUGGAAAUACUACUAUUUUUUUUCUCACUGAGCUCAAUCCAUGGGAAUGCCCCUAAAAAAAUUUCAAUGGAACAUUAUAAUGAUAAAAUAGUGAUUUUUUAGUAUAGAUAAAAUAAAAUUUUUCCGACGAAAGAGGUUCGAAUUAACAAUGACUAGUGAUACGAGCAAAAGCUGAUAUAUACACCAUCCACAUCAACAGACAAAAGGAAUAUAUGCUUAAUAAGUGGACAUAUCUAUCAUAUAUGCCAUAUCUAAUGCUUUUCUCAUUUCAUGAAGUUUUUUUCUAUAAAUUUGCUUGUAUUUUGUCCUCAAUUUUAUAAGAAGCUUCAAUAUCUUGAGUAAAUAUUUCAACAUACCAAGAUAUAGAAUGAAGCCUCACCAUUUCUCUGAAGAUGAUAAAUCUUUGAUUCACAAAUCAAAGAGAACAACCAUAGAUAAGCUCUCAAAAUCAAAGCAAACUUCCAAAGAAAAUCAAAAUCAAAGAAGAAAGAGUUCAAACUUGGAAGAUCCCAUUAGAACUAUCAUGUUCUUGGGCUCUUGGACCCAUUCUUAAACACUAAAAGGGGAUUUUCACACUGUAUAGCCGCCGUCCAAAAUAAUAAUCUGCAACUGUAUAAUAUACGCUAAAUUAUACAUUAUUAGUGUAUAAUUUAUGUAUAUUUAUAAGUUGUAACUAACAGAUGUAAUUAUUUUCGGCGGACGGUAAAAAGCAAAAAGAAUCUUAUUCCCUGAUUCCCUGUAUUCAAAAUCUGUACUUCCACUUCUAUUUUGUACAGUAAAACUAUGUUCAUUUCUUAAAAACAGACUCUUUCUCUGUAAUUUUCAAUAAAAAAUCUCUAGUCAUUUCAUUAUACAGUGAACAUAUAUACUUCCCAUCCUGCUAUGACAAACAAGUGAACAAGCAUAUAAAAUCAGGAAGCUCUAAAAAAUCAACAAGACAUCAACAGAUUAAAAAUAAAGCACCUAAAAGAGGAUAAGAAACCUUUGAUUUGUUAUCACUAGUCAACAACUAAUACAAAAAGCGAAUUAUUCCGUAAAAAUUACUCCAUCCGUUUCAAUUUACUUGUAAAAAAUAGUAAGACAAACAAAUUAAAACAGAGGGAGUAUGAAUAUGAUAAAGUUGCCGCAUGUUUUUUAUUACGCAUAGAUUAACAUGUUGUAGUGUUAGGUGAACACUCCAUCAACCAUUUCACGGGAUACCUAUUACCUCUCCAUCAGCCAAAUAAGAAGACAGCCCAGAAGAAAACCCACAAAUACAGUGAGGAACAGCAUGCAGCUUAACACUAGCAGUUGACUGCACCUUCACUUUUGUCUACUCUAUAUAACUCAUUUAGUAAUAUUCUCUACCUAAAGGGUUGCAUGCAAAUUUUAAUGCCAACUAAUUCAGGACUAUAAACCACAAAACAACCAAAACUAUGAAGAAAUGGGCUUAAAUAAAUCACUGAUUUAUGACAUUUCCUCCCACAAAGAAAUUAGGGGACUGGGAGCAUAUAACAGCGCAAGAGAGAAGAAAAUCUGGGAAUAACAUCCGCGGGAUUUUCAAUCAUUUGACCAAAUAAAAGUGUCCACAAAAUUUAACCCACAAGUAUCUUUUAUUAAUCACUUCUUAAGAAUGUGCAUAGUACAAAAUUUUCCAUGCGGCAACUAAGUUGAUUGAAGGGAUUGCAAGUCUGUAGCACAGGCUUCAACAACGAAAAAGCAAGAUAAAAUCGCAAUGGAUCAACAGCUUAUAUCCAUGUUACUUGAGUUUUUCAAAUAGCUUUGGGGCAACCUGUGUAACAAUUCCACAAAAAGAUUAGAAACAAAACGAAAUGCUAAACAGACCAACAAGGGAGAAUAGAGAAAUAGGGCUUACACAUUUGUCAAUGCAUUGCCAAUAAUCAAAAUACUGUCCAGUGCAAUGCUUGCUCCCUGAUUCAUCACCUUCUAUCCUUCUAGUACAUGCCUGUAGAUGCAAAUUCCCAAAUAAGAGCCACAAAGUGAGAAAACCACUACAAAUUUUGAAGACAUUUGCAAAAAUUCAGGCAACUGUUCAGAACAAAUGAACGAGACAUAAUUAUUCAGGAAUUGCACAGAACAGAUUAAAUGAAAUUGUUCUGAAGAUCAAAUGAAUGCUACUGUAUUGUUAUCUUAGGUGGUGGUUGUCACAAAUCAAUUAGAUAUCAUCCUCCAAGCAUAACACACAACCAAAAGAAAACCCUUCACUUUCAACCGAAAGAGAGACCAAAAUCCUUCCAAAAGUUAGAAACCCAGAUUCCCCAUGUCCGAAGCCCAUCCUUUAAAUAAAUAAUUGAGUUGGAUACAAAGAUUUAGGCAGAGGGAGUAUAUGAACAACAAGAAGUUGAAAGCUAAAAACUAACUCGGAAAAAGGUUUAACGGGGUCGAAAUUAGAACUCAGAGUCUUGGAUACUGAAAAUCUUACAGCACACUGUUCAUAAAAAGUUAUUACGGCAAAUUGUUGGCAAUACAAAGAACAAUGGACCCGAUAGACACUUAUGAUACAGAAAAAUGAGCAGGGAAACAAAAAAGAGCAUACAAAUACUAGCAUUCUGCUGACCAGUUGAAAUCUGGAGAGACAAUAUGAGAGGAGGUCGGGAGGUGUACUUGGAGGCCCAUAAACAUGCCUUUUUGGCUACUUAGAUAAACCAAACAGUUACAGAUUAAGUCCCUUAGUCACAUAUUGGUUCAUCCCAUUAGAGUAACAUACCAAGAAAAUUCUCCUGACUUACUAUAUUAGUUGAUUUGGUAAUUAGAGUAGCUGAAAGUUUAAGUGAUACAUACUAUGUUAGGUCAUAUGUCGGCCAUACUAUUUGAUGUUCUCCAAAUUUACAAUUUUCAGGUCUAACAUGACAUCGCCCAAGACAUUAUUGUGUUGCUCUUCUGGAGACCGUACAUGAUAAUAUUAACAAUAAUAAAAAUUAGCCUUCCACAAACGUAUACAAUCAAGUCUAGGUUACAGCUCACCCAAUAACAAUUAAUAAUUAUAUAAGAACAAGAAAAUCCCUUUGAUAUAACUGAAAGGCUGUUUUACUAUGGUGGGAAUCACCUGAUAAUCCUUUAGUUGCCUUACACACUUAGGCUUGCAAGAUACUUCCAUUGUCUCCUUUGGGUCAACAACUUCCUCGUCCGACCUGCACAAAGGAAACCAUCAGCAAUUUAUCUUCAAAGAGAUGGCAAUAUUAGUAUAAGUUCACACUUUUUUUGGGGGGGGUGGGGGGCGGGUCAAUAGUCACUGAGUUGUCACAUGUCAUUAAUUACAACAGUCUAACUUUGUGUUUGUAACAUGAGCUUAAUAUUUGUAAGUCAUUGAGAUGAUUAUAGUCUAAGAAUAAUAUCAGAUGCUUCUGACAUAAUAGUUAUUAGGAAAAAUAGCAUGAAAAUGUUUCUCCGCCUAUUUGUCUGCAAGGAAUACAAGCUUACGAAGAGGGCCAACACUAUUCACAAACAUCUCAUUGCAGUGCUCCUUCGUUAAACUUAAUGUAAGCUAAGUAAAAAUGGACAAUAGUCUUUUUCACCAUCUAGUUACAUUAACGAAUAGAGAAGAAGAAUAGGGUAUAUCAAAGGCAAAUAAAACAAAUUAAAAAAAAAAAAAAAAAAAAAAAAAAAAN